rnacentral:tRNA from 1 species
UGUGGCUCAGUGGUAGAGCAGUCACCUAGCACGUGAAAUGACCUGGGUUCGAUCUUCAGCA